rnacentral:rRNA from 1 species
GGGUUGUGAGGUUAAGCGACCAAGCGUACACGGUGGAUGCCCUGGCAGUCAGAGGCGAUGAAGGACGUGCUAAUCUGCGAUAAGCGCCGGUAAGGUGAUAUGAACCGUUAUAACCGGCGAUUUCCGAAUGGGGAAACCCAGUGCAAUCCGUUGCACUAUCGUUA